rnacentral:rRNA from 1 species
UAGGGAAUCUUCCGCAAUGGGCGAAAGCCUGACGGAGCAACGCCGCGUGAGUGAUGAAGGUCUUCGGAUCGUAAAACUCUGUUUUUAGGGAAGAAUAAAUGUGUAAGUAACUAUGCACGUCUUGACGGUACCUAAUCAGAAAGCCACGGCUAACUACGUGCCAGCAGCCGCGGUAAUACGUAGGUGGCAAGCGUUAUCCGGAAUUAUUGGGCGUAAAGCGCGCGUAGGCGGUUUUUUAAGUCUGAUGUGAAAGCCCACGGCUCAACCGUGGAGGGUCAUUGGAAACUGGAAAACUUGAGUGCAGAAGAGGAAAGUGGAAUUCCAUGUGUAGCGGUGAAAUGCGCAGAGAUAUGGAGGAACACCAGUGGCGAAGGCGACUUUCUGGUCUGUAACUGACGCUGAUGUGCGAAAGCGUGGGGAUCAAACAGG